GAUUAGAACUUUUGGAGAUCACAUCUCUCACUCCCUUCCUUCUCUUUCCAAGUCUUCUUCUGCCUUCCUCAUAGCUCAGCUCACCAUCUGCCCCGGGUAGAUUCUCCCUGCCUCUCAGGGCUGAGCUUCCUCUCUCUCUGGUUCCUGUUUUUCCAGCAAUGAGAGCCAGAAAUGAGAAUAAGUAUAGCCAGAGGGAGACAGGUCUGAAAUGGUGAGAAUUUAUUGAAUUGGAAAGAGGACUGGAACUGUGGAAGGCUGACAAGAAACUGAGGGAGCCUCUGGCCAACAUCUAGAGAGGAACUUAGACCAGCAGGUGCAUCCUGACCUGCUGGAAGAAGCAGAUUGAUCAUCUUUUCAGGGUGUCUGCUGCACUGGGGUCGAGAAUUCUGCAGCACCUGGUCCUGGAGUUCAGGAUUCUGGACUUGUUACCCUGCCGAGGAUCCGAGGAGGUUCUGUGUUGUUUCAUGUGACCAAGAAUCAAAAAGCUGACCCAGAGGAGGUCUCAUGGGGCUUUGGCCCUGAGUUAAACUACAGCGUCAUGCUGCGAGUCCGCCGUGGGGCAGACACCCCAACCUGGGUCAGCCUCCAGGACAAGUACCAGCACAGGGUCCAUGUGCCUAACAUCCUGUUCCUGAGGAUUGAUAACCUGACCCUAGAGGACAGUGGGCAGUACCGGGCUCGAGCCAGCUUCACUAGAGGAAUAGAAUUAAACCAGGUUUUCCUCCUCACUGUCUAUGAAACUGUACCCGUUCCUAAGAUCCUUGUCAAGUCAGCAUCCUUCACACCAGGCUGGUGCAAUGCCACUCUGGAGUGCACAGCCCCAGGGGAUACAAAGGACCUGAAGGUGACCUGGGAGAUCAAGGACCUUCCCAGGGAGCUGGAGCAGAGAGUGACAUCAGAACUACCCUCCAAGUCCUGGAACCUGACUCUGUGCCUGCCUGUGAGCCAGCCCAGUGGCAGCUUGACCUGUAUGGUCAGCAACCAGGUGGACCAGAAAACUGCCACCUUAGGCCUUGGAGAAGUCUGUGUCUCUGAUUCACCUGGAAACAAUGAUGAUAAGACCCUGUCAGGCAUCAUAGGGACUGUCGUGAUUAUCCUGUUGAUCUGCGUAAUUGGACUGUUCCUUUGGAAGACCUGUGUGAAGAAGAGGAAGAUGACGACUGGAAGAGGUGUAGAAGUUCAGGAGGAUCAGAGGGACAAUGAUGGUGGCCUCCACUAUGCGGAGCUGAGCCAGCAGGAGUCUGCCGCACACAAGGGUGUUGAUAAACAACAUUUAGAAGAAAAGGCGUCUAGUACUGUCUACAGUGAGGUCUGCAAGCCAGAAAGGGAGGCCAUGAAGAUACUUUAAUUGGAGAAAGCAGAAGAAUCGGAACUACUAGGACACCUCCACUCGGCGCUUGAUUCCUGAAGACAUCUGCGUCUCCCAGCUCUGGUCCAGCUCCAGCUGCCCCGUGACCCUCCCGCCCUUAAGUCCCUGUGCGCAUGUGGCCUUCUCACAACCUGUGUCGACUUCCCCAGCUGUCUUCCCACUCAAGAUCCUCACCCUGCAGGAUGAGAGCUCUUCUUCCAUCACUGACCCAGCGCCUAGCCCCUCUUCUCCUGAAACUUCUCAAAGAGGACCUUCCUGCACAUGAUAAUCCCCACAGCCUCUGCUGUGCGGUUGAUGUGUAUCUUUCUCAGCACUCAAGCCCAGGCGUGGAGACAGUUGACCAGACUACAGAGGACAAG
rnacentral:lncRNA from 1 species